GACGAACGCUGGCGGCGUGCUUAACACAUGCAAGUCGAACGGAAAGGCCCCUUUGGGGGUACUCGAGUGGCGAACGGGUGAGUAACACGUGAGUAACCUGCCCUUGACUUCGGGAUAACUUCAGGAAACUGGGGCUAAUACCGGAUAGGAAUCCUUGCUGCAUGGUGGGGGUUGGAAAGCUUCGGCGGUUUUGGAUGGACUCGCGGCCUAUCAGCUUGUUGGUGGGGUAGUGGCUUACCAAGGCUUUGACGGGUAGCCGGCCUGAGAGGGCGACCGGCCACAUUGGGACUGAGAUACGGCCCAGACUCCUACGGGAGGCAGCAGGGGGGAAUAUUGCACAAUGGGCGGAAGCCUGAUGCAGCAACGCCGCGUGCGGGAUGACGGCCUUCGGGUUGUAAACCGCUUUCAGCAGGGGCGAAGCUUGUGGUGACGGUACCUGUAGAAGAAGCACCGGCUAACUACGUG
rnacentral:rRNA from 1 species